AGCACGAUGAGUGUGCGUCCGGACAGCACAGCUGCGAUGAGAACGCUCUGUGUUUCAACACCGUCGGCGGCCACAGCUGCUCCUGCAAACCCGGAUACACCGGCAACGGAACCGACUGCAGAGCGCUGUGCGACGGCCGCUGUCUGAACGGCGGCUCCUGCGCGUCUCCCAACAUCUGCAUGUGUCCGCAGGGCUUCAGCGGGCAGAACUGCGAGACAGACAUCGACGAGUGCUCGGAGGGUUUGGUUCAGUGUAACACACAUGCCACCUGCGUGAAUUUACCUGGCUGGUAUCACUGCGAGUGUCGUGAUGGUUACCACGACAACGAGGUGUUCACUGCCAACGGAGAGUCCUGUAAAGGUAC